rnacentral:rRNA from 1 species
AGGGAUCAUUACCGAGUUUACAACUCCCAAACCCCUGUGAACAUACCUUAAUGUUGCCUCGGCGGAUCAGCCCGCGCCCCGUAAAACGGGACGGCCCGCCAGAGGACCCAAACUCUAAUGUUUCUUAUUGUAACUUCUGAGUAAAACAAACAAAUAAAUCAAAACUUUCAACAACGGAUCUCUUGGUUCUGGCAUCGAUGAAGAACGCAGCAAAAUGCGAUAAGUAAUGUGAAUUGCAGAAUUCAGUGAAUCAUCGAAUCUUUGAACGCACAUUGCGCCCGCUGGUAUUCCGGCGGGCAUGCCUGUUCGAGCGUCAUUUCAACCCUCAAGCCCCCGGGUUUGGUGUUGGGGAUCGGCUCUGCCUUACGGCGGUGCCGCCCCCGAAAUACAUUGGCGGUCUCGCUGCAGCCUCCAUUGCGUAGUAGCUAACACCUCGCAACUGGAACGCGGCGCGGCCAUGCCGUAAAACCCCAACUUCUGAAUGUUGACCUCGGAUCAGGUAGGAAUACCCGCUGAACUUAA